GGCGCUAUAGCCAAGUGGUUACGGCGACAGAUUAGAAUGUGGGAAAUAUAUCGUACCUCUAUCUGUUCCUCUUUGAGGGCGCAGGUUCAAAUCCUGCUGGCGUCG